GCUGCUAUGGCUCAGGUGGUAGAGCGCGCCCUUGGUAAGGGUGAGGUCCCCAGCUCGACUCUGGGUAUCAGCACCA
rnacentral:tRNA from 1 species